UACGAAGGGUGCAAGCGUUACUCGGAAUUACUGGGCGUAAAGCGUGCGUAGGCGGUUUGUUAAGUCUGCUGUGAAAGCCCCGGGCUCAACCUGGGAAUGGCAGUGGAUACUGGCAAGCUAGAGUGCGGUAGAGGGGUGUGGAAUUCCCGGUGUAGCGGUGAAAUGCGUAGAGAUCGGGAGGAACACCAGUGGCGAAGGCGGCACCCUGGACCAGCACUGACGCUGAGGCACGAAAGCGUGGGGAGCAAACAGG
rnacentral:rRNA from 1 species